rnacentral:lncRNA from 1 species
CACGAUUUCUUCAUCCUCAUUUCCCUUUAGAAAGAGCCGACGAACUAUGCCAUUAGGCUUGCAUUGUUUCUUCAGGACAGUACACAUGUUCUCCUGGGAGGAUUUGUCAAUUAGGAAAUCAAGGAUGGUGUCAUGGACUCUGCAAUACUUUGCCUUGCCGUCAUACCCUAUGUUUUCGGGCUGUAUUAGACUUCUGUUCACAAGCUGGUGAAAAUAUUCCUCUCCUAAUUCCAUGAGGUCUUGUCCACUUUCUGCAUGGAUAAAGCCUUCAGAAAUCCAUCUGCGUACCAGCCGUUGCCUUUCAAUCCUUUCGUCUUCAGGAAACAGAGCCAGAUACAAUAAGCAACUUCUUAGGUNNNNNNNNNNAUAAUUCAUAGGAUGUAACAAGUGUCUCUAGAUACAGUAACUCUCCAAUUUGCCUGGGUAGCUCCGUGAUUCCUGAACAAGAACUACAACACCACCAACCAUGUACCAAGUCUGGAAUAAACAUUGGGGGAUUCCACCAUCCCUGCCUUAAACUACAACACCGCCAGCCACCGAUGGGACUAAAUUGAGUAUGAUCCAAGGGCACAAUGAAUACAAAACAAAUNNNNNNNNNNNNNNNNNNNNNNNNNNNNNNNNNNNNNNNNNNNNNNNNNNNNNNNNNNNNNNNNNNNNNNNNNNNNNNNNNNNNNNNNNNNNNNNNNNNNNNNNNNNNNGGUUAUAGAAUAUAGAUGCACGGCAGAUCUUUUCUUCUCAUAAGGUACACGGUAUGUCUUUCCUAACAACAGAAAUCUGGGUUACAUAUCUAAGGCCCAAUCUAAGAAUACACAAAUAUUAAUGGAAAAAUACUAGGAGAGAUAAUCUACUAUUAUAAGAUAAAUAACACUUGAUGCAACCUCAAAUGACAAUCCACUUUUGCCCAAAAGAAUGUUACCGUUUUACAGAAGCAAAAAAAAAAAAUGCUUUCCACGAAUUCGUGAUACUUGUCUUACUUAUUCCUAGUCAUUCCACUAAUUCGUGAUACUUUCAGACAUAUACAGAAGUAUCAGUUGUGCAACACAAACCACAAGAGGACACCAGCUUUGAGACAAAGAGGUAGCCCGAAUAGAAAUGUGGAGCUUNNNNNNNNNNGUCCACAUCAGAGUGACUUGGGCUCCAUAUAUAACCAAAGGUGCAUCUCGGUUUAGGCAUCUAGGACUUCACGGCUUGCGUUGUAGCUGAAAUAGAUUACCGCUACUGCUCGCCAAGACAAAAGUACAAACUUGUUAGUAGUAACAUAUGCUGCGGACCAAGUCUUGUCAUCUCCAGUAUUGGACGGUUGGGGUUCGCCUCGGCCAUUCUCUUGAAAGCAUCAUCCGCAGCCUUUACUUCUGCCUCCGUGCAGCCAGUGCAGUCUAUGCCGACAAUGAGGCGAGCAAGGCUGGAGAGGCGCUGGAUGCCAAAGUCGAAAUCGACCGCAGCAGAUUUGAGCUGUUUGAAGCCAUAAAGUUUAAACUCCUUGAGCCUCUGCAUAGCCCCCGGUUCAAACAUUAAAACUCCCAUAUGAGCAUUGUAAACCUCAAAUCUCUGCAACUGUUGAAAUCCUUCGCGCCUAAUGAUGAGCCGCCCAGUGUCCUCUCUGAAAGACAAUGACAAUUCCAUCAGAUUGGGUAUCAAUCCAAUCAUCUCAAUAUCCUGCUGCUCUAUCUUCGGAUGGUUGAAAUAUAACACAUGUAGGUUGGGAAGUGACGCGAUCCAUCUGGUAAUCCGGCUCAUAUCUUUUCCAUAUACACAAACCUCCUGGAUACAACCCAAAGCAGGGAGGAACGGCUCUUGUCUAUCCUUUUCUCGCAGUACAUAAUCAAUACGCAGGGAAUGGAGGCCACAUUCGUCCAGUUUACAGAGAGAGGACACCAGCUUUUCCUUGGACUGUUCUAAUUUGUCGCCUUCUAUCUCAUCAGUGUUCAAUUUAAUACUCAGCUUUUUCAGGUUUGUUAGUUUGCCGAGCUCUUCCACAUGCUUCGACUGCAAGGCAUCAACGCAACCAAGCUCUUGCAAGUUUAUCAAGUUUCCCAACCCAUCUGGAAGUUUACAACCGGGGCGAACAAACAAACGUGCCAGUCGUUGUAGCCGAGUUGUGCUUUCAGGAAGCUCACGUAAUGCAUAGGAUGUAACUAGCGUCUCUAGAUACAAUAGCUCCCCAAUUUGCCUGGGUAGCUCCGUGAUUCCUGUACCAGAGAUAUCCAAGUAUCUCAGCUGAUAGAGUCUUUCAAUACCCUUGAUAUGACGAUUUUUCAACUGAUCACAGCUUUGCAAGUCUAGCACGCGCAAGCAUUUUGACCUCCCAAGCGAAGGCAAUAGCUUGAUAUCCCCAAAAGCACUGAUUGACCGCGCGUGUGACAAAUCCAAUUGCUCCACGAUUUCUUCAUCCUCAUUUCCCUUUAGAGAGAGGCGACGAACUACGCCAUUAGGCUUGCAUUGUUUCUUUAGGACAGUACACAUGUUCUCUUCGGAGGAUUUCUCAAUUAGGAAAUCAAGGAUGGUGUCAUGGACUCGGCAAUACCUUGCCUUGCCGUCAUACCCUAUGUUGUCGGGCUGUAUUAGACUUCGGUUCACAAGCUGGUGAAAAUAUUCCUCUCCUAAUUCCAUGAGAUCUUGUCCACUUUCUCCAUGGAUAAAGCCUUCAGAAAUCCAUCUGCGNNNNNNNNNNAUGAAAAUAUUCCUCUCCUAAUUCCAUGACAUCUUGUCCACUUUCUCCAUGGAUAAAGCCUUCAGAAAUCCAUCUGCGUACCAACCGUUGCCUUUCAAUUAUUUCGUCUUCAGGAAACAGAGCCAGAUACAAUAAGCAACUUCUUAGGUGGUGGGGAAGAUCAAAAUAACUAAGAGAUAAUAUGUAAUUCAUGGUCUCUAUUAUAUCACUUUUGGCCUUUGAAGAGCGUAUUGAAUGUCGCACCCGAUCCCACUCUUCUUUUGUUUCCCUUGUUGUGGCCAACAAGCUAGAAAUGGCAUUGAUGGCCAGAGGUAGACCACGACAUUUCUUCAAAAUUUCAUUGGCAGCUUCUUUCAAGAUAUCAGGACAGCUUUCUUCACAACCAAAUAUCCUCUUGAAAAACAAUUUCUU